CCAUUUCUCUUCUCUGCAACGUUACUUUCUCUUCUCUGCAACUUUUACUCUUCCAUUCCAUCGUUUUCUUCUUUCAUUCCCUUUUGCUCUUCCAUUCUAACAAUAUAUUUUUAAAUAAUAAAUGACGUGGGAACUCAAAAUCGAAAGGCAGUGGUGAUAAACACUCUUAUUUUGGGGUUGUUGGUUGAAAUUGAGUGAGUGGCAAUUGGAAAAUGCAAAAGCUUAAAAGAAGAUUCCAAAGUUGUUGAGUUUCAGCAAAGAAGAAGAUGGCAAGCGUGCCUUCACCUUCCCCACCUCGCCGCUCACUCCCCUAAGAACCAGGUGAAGUUCCAUCUCCGCUGCAUCAUCAGUUACAUGCUCUUUACCCUCACCAAUUGCUCCAUGAAUACUAAGGACCUAUAUUUCAAUGCAGACAAAGGUAAACUUUCUCCCCUUCAAGUUCAAUUCUUUUUUCCCAAUUAACCCCAUUCAUUUAUGUUUCCUCAGCCUUGGCGAGCCAUUUUCUCACCAACAUCACAGAUGCCUAGGUAAACCUUCCCCUUUCCCCUUUGAUUCUCUCAACUCAACUCUUAUUCCUUUCAACUCUCACAUGAAACAUAAAAAAUUGACACUGCUUUGCCCUUAUCCCUUUCUCUUUUUGCAACAUUAAUCUACUACUAUAUUGAUUAAUCAUUAGAGUAAAGCAUAUCAAUGGAACACAUAUGAUGAUAAGGUAUAGCUGUGAUGAAAUUCUGUCGGCUCCUCACAGUUUCUCUGAAGGUAUCAUUUGUGUUUGUGGAUGUCUGUGUGUUCUAAAUCAAAUUUCACUACGACAAAACUGGUUUUUAGCGACGGUCAUUUUGCGGCGCUUCAAAGAAAACCGCUGCUAGAAGCCACUUUGCGGCGCUUCCCGAGGCGGUUUUUAUAAUUGCGACCGUUUCAUUUAAUUUAGCGGCGGUUUUCUUUCAUUUAGUGGCGGUUUCUAAAGGGUCAAACUUGUAAAUUGGAAAAAGAAAAUCAUAUAAUUAGUUGAAAAUUUCUUCUUUCUCACGACUCUCACUCGCUCCCCUCUGCUAACCAAUUCCUUCGUGUCGUUCAGCGAACCACCGCCCACCUCGCCGCCACCGCUCACCUCGUCGCCGUUGCGCCGCCAACAAAAACCCUCAGGUUCCCGUUGAAUCGCGGUUUCAGAUCCGCUGCUGCGUCGAGUACCACUGCGACAUGGAGGUUUCGACGGCGGAGUAUGGAGUGCAGUCGGUGAUGAUUGUGGAGCCUUGAUUCAAGAGACACCUCUCUCGAAGCUUCGGGAAGCUCUUCAUAUUUCCAUGGCCACGCUCCUCCCCUAGAAACUCAACCCUCGCUCCUCUCUCUACAAACAUGUAUUCGCAAAAUUCGUCACUUUCUAGGGUUUCCUUAUGCUUCGUUUUGCCUCUGAUUUAGAUUAAUUUCUGCAUAAUCAUCUCUAGAUGUUGGAAGAUUAAUGCAGGAAGUAGAUGAAACUUCUUAAUUUUGAAGUUGCAGGUGCAAUGUUGAAAGGGGAUUCUGGUUUUCUCUUUCAUUGUAGGUUCUCCUCCUAUUAAAUUUUGUUACUAAGUCAAAACGUGUUAAAUUUUGAAGUUGCAGGUGCAAUCUUGAUAGGGGAUUCUCUAUGAUGGAGUCUCUGCAGUGGCAGGUUUUUAGCCUCUUUCACCAUUCAUUUUUUUUGUAUGCAUGUUAAUUAUGUGAUAGGCAAUUCAUUUUCUUAGAAGGUGGUGAAUAACUUGCCUUUUUUGAAAAGGAAAAAAUGAGUGAUUGAUGAUAAUGUUGUACUAGUUCUGCGAGUAACCUUUUUAUCAUAGUUUCUUAUAGGAGGAGAACCUCCCAUUGAACUUCUUGAUUUUUUAUCUUAGUAUCUUAUUUCUUCGUUGACAUUGUGGAUGUAGUUUUCUUAUUUUUUUAUUGCUACAUGUUGUAUAGAAUUGACAUAUAUGUUAUAUAUUGCUAUUCAUUCCAUCUUAAUCAUUACAAGGUGAAAUUGUAACAUUGAAAAGCUUUAUCCAAAAAGUUUUAUGCUCUGCACAUAGGUCAUUGAGAGUUUGCAAUUCAAGCAUCAAAGGGGGACGCCCAUUUCUUUUUUGCUGGCAUGGAAAAGGUACUUGGUUUGGAACCUAGGUAGGCAUGAAAAAAGUACCUGGUUAGGAACCUAGAUUUGGACUUCCAUUUCUCCUGUGUUAUCAUUACUUGAUUUCACAUUGCUCCCUCCCGCAUUCAUUCUACGGAAGUCAUUUUUGAACCUUGAAAAUGUGCUUGACUAAGCUCUUAUAAAAUCAUUGUGUUCAACUUUAGUCCUAACUGUUGCUACAUUUUCGUAUGUGUCAUAGAUUCAGAGCAACAAUUAUAGAUUCUGACUAAGUAAUUAACCAUGUGUGCAGCUUUUGAAUCCUGAUUGUUAAUCCUCUAAGCGACUAAAAGGUAAACUUGUUUCAUUUUCAAUAUAGUUGUGCCACAGCUUGGAGAAGGCACUAAACUAAGUUUGGUGAUCGUUACAGCCAAAAUCACUUUUGGGGAGAAGCUUUUAUGUGUAGUUUCUCGAUUUUAGAACUGAUUCUGAUGAAAGAGAAACUAAUCAACAUAUGCUCUAAAUUACUUCUUUCAGCUAUAUAAUAAAGAUCAUAGUAGUGGUUUUCUUUGAGUUAAAUAUGCCUAAUUCAAAACAUUUUCAUCAAGCACCAGAUCGGGGAAAAGAUCAUAUCACCUAACUGAACAUUUUGUCUGUCACCAUUUGUAGUUGCAAACUUAUAACAUUUUGUUGAAUUUCUUAGAAAUUUGAAUUGAGAGGUAGUCCUCUAAACUUAUAACAUUAUGCUCUAAACUAACAAGCCCUCUAAAACAGGUAUUAAACAUGAUAUGUUGCUAGUUGGAGGACCCCAAUUCCAAGGCAUUUAAGUAUCACAUUUCAAGAAUCAAAGACUAUCUCUGGGUGGCUGAGGAUGGAAUGAAAAUGCAGAUUUGAUACAAGUUUGUAUAGUUGUGGUGCGCUAUUCACAUGACAGUUAUUAUGAAAAUAGAGGAUAAGGAAUUAGGGAUUUCAGAUUUGCAUUCUCAUAUCUCUCUUGAACCCUGUUGUGCUCUGAUUCUAAACCAUCUCACUCAGAUUCUCAUAUUGGGGUUUUAGUUUCUUCUCCGCUUAGCUUUGGAUUGAAGCUUGUGUGUGUCUAAUAUCAUUGUAUUCUAGGACUUGAACAACUUUGAGAGUGAUCCUGAAGAGUUUGCUAUAAUCUUCUGCAAAGACAUGGGUAUUGAGGAUCCAGUGAUUGCAUUUGCUAUCAUAGAGAAACUUUAUGAGGUCAGUCAUUCUAUUGAUUAAUUGAUAUAUUAUGCUCAUAAGUAAUAUAUAAUUCAGCUGGCAUAAUGUUAACUUCUGUCAUGCAUAAUCACAUAAACACUCUUGAGAUUUCUCGCUAUGAAACUGCUACUUUAACAGCAGAUGCUAUUCCUGCAUUUUUGCUUCCUCCUCCAACAACAGCUCUGGAUAAGCAUCUUGUUGUUGGAUUACCAGCUCUAGAGCCAUAUGCAUGUUUAUUUCAUAGGUUAGUUUGAGCUUAAUUCCUUUUUUUAUUGCGUACUUUGAUGGUUGAGUAAUUAGUAUUCUUACUAGAUUCCUUCACUGUAUUUCUUAAGUUAGGUGAAUAUGCUAGUUUUUCUGAAUACCCCUCUUUUAUAAAGAUUAUAAGCUUCACUCUAUUUAAAGAGAUCAUUUUAUAAAGAUUAUAAGCUUCAUUUUAUUUAUUGAUUGAAUAUAUAAUUUGACUUUUAACAAAAAUUGAAAAACUAUUUUCCGCAAUUCAAUGAUUAAAUAGAAAAUAUUUUAAAAAUCACUGUAGAAAUUUGUAGCGGUUUAGAACCGCCGCAAAACAGAGGCGGAAUGAAUUACAGAUUCUGCGGCGCUUUUAACCGCCGCUAUAUUCUGCGGCGGUUAUUCCCACGGUUGGUCAAAACCGCCGCAGAAUGCCCCCCGACGCUCGUAACUGCGGUGCUCAAGUAAACGCCUCAUUAUACAUUCUGCGGCGGUUUGAACCGCCGCAAAAUGCUUCCAGAAGCGCCGAAAAAUGCUUAUUUUUUUGUAGUGUUUGGUUCCUUUAUCAGAGAUUGGGAUUCAUUGUUUUGCUAUAGAUAUGCACAAUAUUAGGGGGAGGGUCUGAAGCUUUGUUUUCUUUAAUAUAUCUUCUUCAUAGUUUUAUUCCUUUGGCUACAAAUGUUAAAUUACAAAACAUAAUAGAAAAAAUAACCAAACUAGAUGGUAAUGGUGAUUAAUUAAUUAUUUAGUUAAUCUGUGGAGGGUUAAAAACAACAUUUCCUAUAGAAAAGAGUUUGGAAUGUUAUAUAACUGAGUAAAUAAUACUGAUAAUUGGCCUGUAAGAGUAGAGUGACACAUCUUAAAUAAAUAAGACUUGAAGAUCAGCAAAAGAGAGAUGACAUUGCAAUUUUGCAAUCCCCAUGUCCUAUAUCAUCCAUCAAAUUCUAUUAUUUGCCCCUCCCAAUGGAAUGAAAAUAUACGCUCCCUUAAAUGAACUCUUUGUUAAUUAGUUUUCUCUAUUAUUUGAGAAAGAAAAAUGGUCCAUCAAGCUUCAUGGCCCCAAGUGUUGAUGAAGUAGCUGAUCUGAAUGCCUCUUUAAAAGAAGGUAUUUGUCUUGCUCUUCAAAUGUAAACAACAAAAAGAUCUCAAUUCUGUAUUUUGUAACAUAAAUUGCUAGACAGUUUGAUUUUUUAGGAAAUUUUUGUGUGUUAUUUUUAUGAUUUUGACAUUGACAAUAUGAUCCAUGCUGACAGAUCUCUGAUGGUCCAUUGGAAUGGUAUGAAUGGCUUCCAAGUUCCAUCCACAAAUUCUUCGCUUUGCCCACGUCUUAAAAUUCUGAUAGAAGAAUGUUUACUGCUCUUUUUGUUUCGAACCUCUCCUAGAAUAUUUAUUGCUGCUCUUCUUCCUUGAACCAUGCUUUUCCCUGCCACUUUUCCCCGCAAGCUUGCUUUGUACAAUUUGGAAUCAUGUCUUCGUGCACCAUUGAGUCUGAUCUUGAUAUGCUGAGUUAAGGGUUUAUGGUAUUUCCCGCGAAUAUAUAUGGUUAGAGUUGUGCCUAGGAUUGAGGGUUGACGGAACACCGUAUUUGAUUCUGAUAAUGGUACAUUGCUAAAAGUUUGCUGCUAAUUUUGAUUGGUACAUUGCUAAAGUUUUAUUAUCUACAUGAUCUAGAUUUUGAUCAUAGAUUCUCCCCUUACGUUGAAUGGUUCUUUUUUUUUUUGUGUUUGAAGCAAUAUGUACACUUAUAGUAUAUGAUCUAAUACUGAUAGAACAACUCAAACCUAACUAUUUUUUUGAUGUUUAUUUUAACAUCUCUGCCUUUGGAGGGUGUGGGUUGCGAAAGAAGACUUGGUAAAUAUCAGUCUUUAGAUGCUCAUAUCUAGCAUGUGAUUUAAAAGAUGACCUUUGAUGAUAUAGAAGUGGAUAACCAAGCUGUCAUAUUUAGGAUGAAAAAUUUCUUUGGAUAUAAUAUGUGAAGGAAAUGAAGAGUUGGUGGAACUUUUGAAAAUUCUAUUAAAGAAGAAAUGAAAUAUGAAUGCUUCCUCCUUAUGAAGUAUUCGGUCUGUAUGUUGGUUUGCUGGCUAGAAGUGGGUGGCAAGAUUAUUGCAGUAGUGGUAAUAUGAGCUGCCACUCCAAGAUAUCAUUUGAGGAUGCAAUGUGUAGCUUCAUAAUAUUGACAUUGCAACACUCAUUAUGCAACACUCAUUAUACAAGACUGUAAAAAUGCAGCUUGGUACAUCAAUAAGGCUAGAGUGUGAAGCAACAUUUGAGGAAUGGAUAAUGUUGCAUUCAGCUAUUUUCUUAGUUAACUAAUUUGCUUGGGUUGCUCAGGUGUCUUUUUAUGGGUUUGGAAUUUUCUAUUGUAAGAUUUGGGAAUUGUAGCUGCAAUUAACAGUUUGCUAACGAAGUCAAUCAUUGUUAUUUUACGUUUGGUUAAUAGAUUUUUGUUCUAUCAAG